UUUAAAUAGAUGUUAUUAGAAAUAAAUAUUACAAUGCUAUUUUCUCAUAUUUUUCCAUUGGUGAUUCCUCUUAUAUGCUUAAAAUGGCAAAUAUUGUUUUCUAAAAUGCAAAACAUAUUUACUUACAUUUAAUGUGAAACAUACUGGUAAUUUGAGGCUGUUGUACCUCUGAAUAGAGACUCCUAAAUUUAUUAAUUUUGGAUUAAUUAAAAUUUCUUUGUUUUAUAAGGAGAGAAGACACUAAACUUUUAUAGUUUAAUUGAAAAUGAAAUGUGCUUUGACCUUGGAGAAAAUGAAUGUAAAGAAUAACGAUAAUAGCAAAUAGUGAAAUGGAAAAUAAUAAUAAUAAAAGAGAACAAGGGAGUCAUACUUGAUGGAUAUAUUCAAUUUGUUUCAUGUGUAUGCGUUAUAUUUUUGUAUAUACUGUUUUUUAGGCAGUUGGAUUGUUGGAAGCUGUUUCUUUAUCCAUAAUUUUGAGGAUACCUUUAACUUUAGAAAUAAAAUAGGUUUUUGAAGGACAAAACUACUAGUAAUUAGAAGGAUUCCACAGCCUUAAUGAAAACAAAAAUAACAAAUAUUUAUACAGAAAUACAAACUUUCUAUUAAUGAUGUAAAGUAUAAUGAAAUUUCAGAUUGCUGUUUUUAUCAGAGAUGUGGUAUUCUGAAUCAACAAAUCAUUGGCUUUCGCUUUUAGAAUUCCCUCAUCUCUGCUGAAAAGCAUGAAACCACAUGCCCAUCAUUAACCUGACAACAAAAAAAAAAAAAAAAAGAAAAGAAAAGAAAAGCCUCUCUUUUGAAGAAACUGAAACCUACUCUCUGUCAACUUCUGUGGCAAGAAUUACAUCGUUUAGAUUCCAAAUUUGUUUCACACAAGUAUACAGGUGUAUUGACUGAUGGAAAAUCCUCUGUGCCAAUAGGUUUUAAGAUGAAAUAUUAAUGAAAGUCCUCAUGACAAUUCCCACAUAGAGGCAGAGCCCUCAUCCAGUGGUUGAUGGAAACAGAGACAGACAUCCACAGAUAUACACUGAGCUGAAAUCGGGAAUUUAGUGGAGAGAGGGAGGAAUGAAGAGUGAAGGGGUCUGUACCAGGUUGGAGAAACCCACAGGAUCAGUUGGCCUGAACAAGGGAGAGCACAUCGACCCCAGAUGCUUUCACCCGUCCAAGACUGAUCCAGAUCCCUGAACAUGGAUGUCAAUAAGGAGGCCUCUGCACACGAGGGAGCCUCUGGUGGUGGAUUAGUAUUUUUCCCUGGUGCAAGAAGGGACUUUGAGAACCCAUCCCACGUGAAGGGUUACACUCUGGCCCUGUACACAUGGGGAAGGGCCCAGGACCAGCACAGGAAGAUUUGGUGGACUUUGCAGAGCCCCCGUUGAGGGCCCUACCCUUCCUGAGGAGUGGAUGGAAUUUCAUGCCUGUCCUAUAACCCUCAUCAAAAGCCUGUGGCUGAGACUAAGAGACUAACGAGUCACCUCAAUCAGCCCACCACCACCAAGGCUCCAGGAACAUCAUAGUGGAAUUAGCAGAAAUCAUGUAAGCGCUGGAAGAUCAGAAAGAUUACUAUAAGAGGUUACCAUCUGACAUGACUAUAACACUGAAGGUCACUGUCACUGUGGUGACCUCCACAAAAUCUACUCGGCAUCAAGAGAGACAGAAUUCUGAUCAAAUUCUGAUAUUGAUGUGAUAGGGGAUCAUCAUGUCCCCAUAUGUGGUCCAUAAUAGGUUUUCAAUGAUCCAGUGAAUAGCCUGACACCAGCGGAUGUGUGGGCAACACUAACUGGACAUAAUGACUUGAGAGGGGGCGGGUGGAUGGGAGAGAAACACAAAGUCUGUGUUACAUUAGGACAGAGAUAUGAAAUUCUCAAAAGGAAGACAAAGUUUUUAAAUGGAAAGUCGUCAGAGAUUUGCAAAUGAACAUUUAAUUUUUGCUUCUGGGUUGAUAAGCUUGAACAUGGGAACUUAAUUGAACACCAUCUGUUGAAUUGGACACAUGAUAA
ensembl:lncRNA